GGAGCCAGAGGGAGGGAUACCAAUCCAGCCUUAGGAAAAGAAGCCUGCCCCGGGAGUCUUGGAGAUUGGCGACCAUCCUAAUGACUUA
rfam:Equus caballus chromosome 28, whole genome shotgun sequence.